rnacentral:rRNA from 1 species
AGUGAACGCUGGCGGCGUGCCUAAUACAUGCAAGUCGAACGGAGUGGCGCACGGGUGAGUAAUAUAUAGCUAAUCUGCCCCUUGCUGGAGGACUACAGUUAGAAAUGACUGCUAAUACCCCAUAGCAAGGGAUGAGACUAUAUCGUAUCAGCUAGUCGGUGGGGUAACGGCCUACCGAGGCUAUGACGCGUAACUGGUGUGAGAGGAUAAUCAUUCACAUUUGAACAGAGACACGGUCCAAACUCCUACGGGAGGCAGCGGUAGGUCAUAGUGCGCAAUGGGGGAAUCCCUGACGCAGCAACGCCGCGUGGAGUAUGGCACUUUUCGGAGCGUAAACUCCUUUUGUUAGGGAAACGGUACCUAACGAAUAAGCACCGGCUAACUCCGUGCCAGCAGCCGCGGUAAUAC